rnacentral:tRNA from 1 species
GGCUUCAUAGCUCAGUUGGUAGAGCAUCGCACCCGUAUCGCGGACGUCACGGGUUCGAAUCCUGUUGAAGCCC